rnacentral:rRNA from 1 species
UACGUAGGGGGCAAGCGUUGUCCGGAAUUAUUGGGCGUAAAGAGCGUGUAGGCGGUCCGGUAAGUCAGCUGUGAAAGUCAAGGGCUCAACCCUUGAAAGCCGGUUGAUACUGUCGGGCUAGAGUCCGGAAGAGGCGAGUGGAAUUCCCGGUGUAGCGGUGAAAUGCGCAGAUAUCGGGAGGAACACCAAUGGCGAAGGCAGCCCCCUGGGCUAGCACUGACGCUCAGGCACGAAAGCGUGGGGAGCAAACAGG